AGAACCUUACCCAGACUUGACAUGCAGUAGACCGAUCCAGAAAUGGAUCUUUCCUUCGGGACUGCUGCACAGGUGCUGCAUGGCUGUCGUCAGCUCGUGCCGUGAGGUGUUGGGUUAAGUCCCGCAACGAGCGCAACCCUUAUCAUUAGUUGCCAACAUUUCGGAUGGGAACUCUAAUGAGACUGCCUGGGUUAACCAGGAGGAAGGUGAGGAUGACGUCAAGUCCGCAUGGCCCUUAUGUCUGGGGCUACACACGUGCUACAAUGGUCGGUACAGAAGGCAGCGAAACCGCGAGGCGAAGCAAAUCCCUAAAACCGGCCCCAGUUCAGAUUGUAGUCUGCAACUCGACUACAUGAAGACGGAAUUGCUAGUAAUGGCGAGUCAGCAACAUCGCCGUGAAUACGUUCCCGGGCCUUGUCACACCGA
rnacentral:rRNA from 1 species